UUCAACAGGGGUGAAAUCUGUAUACACCGUGAAUUUUUUGAUUAAAGUACCUUUUAGGUGGUCAAAUGACUAGGAUUAGAUACCCUAUUAGUCCACUCUUAAUUAACCUGGGUAGUAGUAUCGAAACCUAAAGAAUUUGGCGGUUUCUAAACCUACUAGAGGAACCUGCCCCAUAAACGACAAUCCACGAAAAAAUUCACCCGGGCUAGUUAUGCAGCUUAUAUACCGUCGUUCAGAGGACUAAAUAAAUAGAUCCUCUUAAAAGCUUAGGCUAAUAAAUCAGAUCAAGGUGUAGCUUAUGCCCGGGAGAGGGUGGGUUACAAUGAAAAUUCAUACGGAACUUCUAUUUUAUGAUAGAAAAGAAGGUGGAUUUAGAAGUAAGACUUAAUAUACUGAAAAAGGCUCUCAGAAAUGUACAC
rnacentral:rRNA from 1 species